GUAGUUAGCCGGGGCUUCCUCCUUGGCUACCGUCACUUUCUUCGUCACCAAGGACAGAGGUUUACAAUCCGAAGACCUUCUUCCCUCACGCGGCGUUGCUGGGUCAGGCUUGCGCCCAUUGCCCAAUAUUCCCCACUGCUGCCUCCCGUAGGAGUCUGGACCGUGUCUCAGUUCCAGUGUGGCCGAUCAGCCUCUCAGCUCGGCUACCCAUCGUUGGCUAGGUGGGCCGUUACCCCGCUACUACCUAAUGGGACGCGAACCCCUCCUUCUGCGGAUUGCUCCUUUGACCCCUGAGCCAUGCGACUCUGUGGUCUUAUGCGGUAUUAGCACUUGUUUCCAGGUGUUAUCCCCCUCAAAAGGGCAGGUUGUUCACGCGUUACUCACCCGUUCGCCACUAGCUAUAAAUCCGAAAACCUAUAGCCCGUUCGACUUGCAUGUGUUAGGCACGCCGCCAGCGUUCGUCCUGAGCACGAUACAACUACUGA
rnacentral:rRNA from 1 species